GGCACAAGGAAUUUCUGGAAGAUAUUUUCUAUUGGCAAUUACCAAUGGACACAGAGCCCUGUACAGUGAGUGUCAGGAGAGCCUCUAUUUUCCUUUAAUUCUUUUUUUUCUUCACAACUGGCUUCUAGUCUAAGGGCUCUCAUCAUUUGCUUUUUGGUGGUAUCAGGUGAGAGUGAUUUCUGUGAUUUCUAGUUGCUAGGAAAGCCAUCAGAAGGAGGUUUGUUUCCCCAGACAAUCCUCAGUUUUAGGGAUGUUCACACACUUCUGCUCCUUUGACUGUCCUCAUGAAAUUGUCUCUGGAGCCGUGCUGUGACUGGAUUAGUGCUUUCUCUUAGGAGGCGAUGCUCCUGACAGCUUGAUUGCUUGGAAUCUGAGGUGAAAAUGCCCAACCAAAGAGAUCAGUUGAGAGAGGAAAAAGCAGCACGUUAAAAUAAGAAAAACAGGAUUUUUGUGAAGGACACAAUUGUGUGUUUGCGCGUUGCUGAAACCCAAAGGUAAUUGUUUUAGGGUUGUUUUUGGAGGAAAACAGGAGAGACACAGCCUGGCUGCUCCUGUUCCCAGUCACGAGGGAGAGAUCCCAUCAGUCUGGUCCCUCUGCAAGGGCUCUGUCACUUCCCAGGCUCUUGAUUCCCUGACUGAUCAGCCAGAAGCUGCUGGGAGUCAGAUUCUCCCCUCCAAAACUCUGUUUUCUUCUCACUGGAAGAAACUUCCAGCUCUCAGGUCUUCUCAUACCUGUGGAGAGGACACCAUGCCUGAAAUGAUUGUGAAGAACACCUCAAACAAACAAAAAACCAAGGUAAUCUGUCUUCAUCAGAUCUUGUCCAGAAUGCAUUGAACUCCUAAAUCCAGACAAAAUACCUCUGUGGGAGGAGAAAAAAGAAAAGGAAUGAGCAGAGAAAUGCCUGUUCUUUAAAAAUCAGCUUUAAGCUG
rnacentral:lncRNA from 1 species